AACGAACGCUGGCGGCAUGCCUAACACAUGCAAGUCGAACGAGUACCUUCGGGUGCUAGUGGCGCACGGGUGAGUAACGCGUGGGAACCUGCCUUUCGGUACGGGAUAACGUCGGGAAACUGACGCUAAUACCGUAUAUGUCUUAGGAUGAAAGAUUUAUCGCCGGAAGAGGGGCCCGCGUCUGAUUAGGUAGUUGGUGAGGUAACGGCUCACCAAGCCUUCGAUCAGUAGCUGGUCUGAGAGGAUGAUCAGCCACACUGGGACUGAGACACGGCCCAGACUCCUACGGGAGGCAGCAGUGGGGAAUAUUGGACAAUGGGCGCAAGCCUGAUCCAGCAAUGCCGCGUGAGUGAUGAAGGCCUUCGGGUUGUAAAGCUCUUUUGCCUGCGACGAUGAUGACGGUAGCAGGAGAAUAAGCCCCGGCUAACUUCGUGCCAGCCGCCGCAGUAACAC
rnacentral:rRNA from 1 species